UCGGGAUGCGGUUUUCCCCCUU
rnacentral:miRNA from 1 species